CGGGCCACCGAGAAGUUGGCCCCGCUCCGUGGAGCGCUGCUGCGGCACCCGGGGGGGGCUCCUGGCCAGCCCCUGCUCAGGGAGCGCACGGAGGUCCCCUGGGGGUCUCCCGCCCGCGCCGUGGGCUGCCCCCCUCCCGGCUCCCCCCUCCCGCAGCAGGGACCCCCCCGGCCCGGCAGCCCCGUGCGCAGAAUGGGACCCGCUGAGACCCGAGCAAGGCGCUGGGAGCCCGGCGCCGUACAGCUCCAGAAGAGUGCAUCACUUGGAAUAAAAGCGUUAUCCUAAGUUCACUUUCCAGCCAAGCUGCUUGAAGGCAGCCCCCCGCAGACGCUGUUUAAGCAGGUUCCUGAGUGCUUUCCCCUCUUAGGCAGGCACAAAGAGGAGAGGCUCUGAAAGCAGCUGGAUUUCAGCAUCCCACUUUGCUUCUCUUCCCCUGGAUGUGCUGGAGACACGCUCAGCCCCUCUGUCAGUCCCAAGGACCAUGACACUGCACAAGCUGCAUCGCGGUGCCAUCCCAUGGCCCCAGCUGCCAGCGGCACAUUGUGAUGCCCGAAACAACCAGCCCAGCCUUCCCCCGUGUGCUCACACACCGGCACGGCAUGGCGUGUCCAUCGGUGGAGAUUCGGCCUCAUUAAACCCCUCUGCCACUCGCCUUUUGCAGGCAGGCUCUUACCAGGCUUUAAUUAAAAAUGUGCCAGGC